rnacentral:rRNA from 1 species
UACGAAGGGGGCUAGCGUUGCUCGGAAUUACUGGGCAUAAAGGGCGCGUAGGCGGACAGUUUAGUCAGAGGUGAAAGCCCAGGGCUCAACCUUGGAAUUGCCUUUGAUACUGGCUGUCUUGAGUUCGGGAGAGGUGAGUGGAAUGCCGAGUGUAGAGGUGAAAUUCGUAGAUAUUCGGCGGAACACCAGUGGCGAAGGCGGCUCACUGGCCCGGUACUGACGCUGAGGUGCGAAAGCGUGGGGAGCAAACAGG